UUUUUUUUUUUUUUUUUUUUUACAAAAAUGUGGACCUAGGUACAUAAUGUGUGCUAUGCAUAGGAAAAAGCCUGGAGAACUUGCACGAAAUGGUCACACUGUUUUUCAGUGAUGGUAAGAUAAAGGGUAAUUUUAAAAAUUCCUAUUCUUUUCCAGAUUGUUUCUAACACUGCGCAUGCCUUUCGGAGACAAAUUUUAAAAAUAAACAUUAUUUUUAAAAGGAAACAAACAAACAAAACCAAACAGAAGGGAGGCUGGGUUUCUUGGGGAUUUCGGGAGUGCCUGUGUCUCCACGACCUGGGCAGUGCUCUUCUGAGAGGACUGAGGGCUGGGGAGGCAGAGAGAGCAACGACAGGCUACCAGCAUUGAGAAAGAAGGCCUCAAGGCCACAUUGAGAAGGACACUACGCUCUGGAUCACAGGCUGAGCCCUGCAUUCUUGACAUUGGAGCCCUUCGGGAGUGCCAGAACGAGCAGUCCCUCUCCUGGAGGAGCCUGCCUUCCCACCACGGAGGCUAACACCACAACAGCCACAGUGAGCCACCCCUUCUGCCCAUCUUCUUACGUGUCAAGCACUGUGUUCAGUGCCUUCACAGGUAACUUCGAUAAGUCACGAUGGGCAUGCUGCGACUAAGUUGGUACUGAUAUUCUAUUGGUUUUAAAUGGGGAAACUGAGGCUCAGGAAGGUUCAGUAUUUUGCUGGAGGUCACACAGCCAGGCAAGGGCAGAGCCAAGAUUUCAGUUUCAAUCUGUCUGGCUUGGAAGACUUCCUUAUCUUGUGGCAGCAUCUCCAGAGAUCAUGGGUCAGCCUCUUCUUGCCAGAGGCGUGUGUGUGUGCACAGACACAUACACGCUGAGUGACAGAGGGACAAAAACAGUGAGCACCCACCCAGGCACUGUGCUCGAAAUUCUUCCUGCAAACCUGCAAGGUUCCUUGAAUUUCUACGUGAAUUUUAGGAUCAGCUUGUCCAUUUCUGCAAAGAAGCCAGCUGAGCUUUUGAUUGGAAUUGCAUUGAAUCUGUAGAUCAAUUUGGAGAGCAUUUGCAUCUUAACAGUAUUAAGUCUUCUCAUCCAUGAACAUAUUAUAUUUUUCCAUGUAUUUAGAUCUUUAAUUGCCUUCAACAAUGUUUUGUAGUUUUUAGAAUAUAAAUCUUGCACUUCUUUUGUUAAAUGUAUUCCAAAGUAUUUCUUUUG
ensembl:lncRNA LINC00595 long intergenic non-protein coding RNA 595